rnacentral:rRNA from 1 species
AAGUCGAACGAUCCCUUCGGGGAUAGUGGCGCACGGGUGCGUAACGCGUGGGAAUCUGCCCUUGGGUUCGGAAUAACUUCUGGAAACGGAAGCUAAUACCGGAUGAUGACGUAAGUCCAAAGAUUUAUCGCCCAAGGAUGAGCCCGCGUAGGAUUAGCUAGUUGGUGAGGUAAAGGCUCACCAAGGCGACGAUCCUUAGCUGGUCUGAGAGGAUGAUCAGCCACACUGGGACUGAGACACGGCCCAGACUCCUACGGGAGGCAGCAGUAGGGAAUAUUGGACAAUGGGGGAAACCCUGAUCCAGCAAUGCCGCGUGAGUGAUGAAGGCCUUAGGGUUGUAAAGCUCUUUUACCCGGGAUGAUAAUGACAGUACCGGGAGAAUAAGCUCCGGCUAACUCCGUGCCAGCAGCCGCGGUAAUACGGAGGGAGCUAGCGUUGUUCGGAAUUACUGGGCGUAAAGCGCACGUAGGCGGCUAUUCAAGUCAGAGGUGAAAGCCCGGGGCUCAACCCCGGAACUGCCUUUGAAACUAGAUAGCUUGAAUCCAGGAGAGGUGAGUGGAAUUCCGAGUGUAGAGGUGAAAUUCGUAGAUAUUCGGAAGAACACCAGUGG